UACGAAGGGGGCUAGCGUUGCUCGGAAUCACUGGGCGUAAAGCGCACGUAGGCGGCUUCUUAAGUCAGGGGUGAAAGCCUGGAGCUCAACUCCAGAACUGCCUUUGAUACUGAGGAGCUUGAGUCCGGGAGAGGUGAGUGGAACUGCGAGUGUAGAGGUGAAAUUCGUAGAUAUUCGCAAGAACACCAGUGGCGAAGGCGGCUCACUGGCCCGGUACUGACGCUGAGGUGCGAGAGCGUGGGGAGCAAACAGG
rnacentral:rRNA from 1 species